rnacentral:lncRNA from 12 species
AUGAGUUCUGCAUUUUCAAUGAGCCAUAACACAAAGACAACAUCAUGGCUGGAUCCUCGACUUGCGAAAAAGGCUAAACCUCCAGAAGAGUGCAAAGAGAAUGGUAGGUCAUUAAGUUUCUAUGAUGUUUCUGCGUUGCGCUUUGAGCAUGUUUGUGUUUCUUAAAGGAGGGUCUCACCGACAGGAGCAAUCAUGUAGUUGAGACAA